UCAGUCCCCCAGAGGCAUGGCAGGUGUGGCUGCUGUGCUACGUGUGCGUCAGUAGGUGGCAGAGAGGAAAGAGUGUCUACACAGUGUUCUGACCUAUGAAUGAACAUCUGAAUGAUUAGUAGCCUAGUAUU